GUAAUUAUUAUAGUUUUCAGACGCUGAUUUAAAAUUAAAAGGGUUAUAGGUUGUCCAAUUGGCAGGCAAGCCUACCAAGGAAACUUGGGUACUCAAAAGACAAGGAAGGAGAGAAGGGACCGAAAUCCCCCUCAUAACAGUGGAAAUCCACCGAAAUUAAUGAUCCUUCCGCAGGUUCACCUACGGAAA
rnacentral:misc_RNA from 1 species